rnacentral:rRNA from 1 species
GAUUAAAAAAAAACAAAAAAACAUGCCCGAUCUCGGAAGCUAAGCAGGGUCGGGCCUGGUUAGUACUUGGAUGGGAGACCGCCUGGGAAUACCAGGUGCUGUAAGCU